CAGGCCUAACACAUGCAAGUCGAACGCGAAAGGGACUUCGGUCCUUAGUAGAGUGGCGCACGGGUGAGUAACGCGUGGGAACGUACCCUGGAGUGGGGAAUAACCAUUGGACACGAUGGUUAAUACCGCAUAAUGUCUUCGGACCAAAGAUUUAUCGCUCUUGGAUCGGCCCGCGUUAGAUUUGCUUGUUGGUGGGGUAAUGGCCUACCAAGACUACGAUCUAUAGCUGGUUUGAGAGGACGACCAGCCACACUGGGACUGAGACACGGCCCAGACUCCUACGGGAGGCAGCAGUGGGGAAUAUUGGACAAUGGGCGCAAGCCUGAUCCAGCCAUGCCGCGUGAGUGAUGAAGGCCUUAGGGUUGUAAAGCUCUUUCAACGGUGAAGAUGAUGACGGUAACCGUAGAAGAAGCCCCGGCUAACUUCGUGCCAGCCGCCGCGGUAA
rnacentral:rRNA from 1 species